GAGUUUGAUCAUGGCUCAGAUUGAACGCCGGCGGCAUGCUUUACACAUGCAAGUCGAACGGCAGCACGGGGGCAACGCUGGUGGCGAGUGGCGAAAGGGUGAGUAAUGCAUCGGAACGUAAAAAAAAAAAGGGGAUAACACAUCGAAAGAUGUGCUAAUACCGCAUACGCACUACGGUGGAAAGCGGGGGAUCGUAAGACCUAACGCUAUUGGAGCGGCCGAUGUCCGAUUAGCUAGUUGGUGGGGUAAUGGCCUACCAAGGCAACGAUCGGUAGCUGGUCUGAGAGGAUGAUCAGCCACACUGGGACUGAGACACGGCCCAGACUCCUACGGGAGGCAGCAGUGGGGAAUUUUGGACAAUGGGCGCAAGCCUGAUCCAGCCAUGCCGCGUGAGUGAAGAAGGCCUUCGGGUUGUAAAGCUCUU
rnacentral:rRNA from 1 species